UUUAUCUUACAAAGUGAAGAGACUGUAUAUUUUAUAUUUAUAUUUUCCAUGCACAGUGGUCUGUUCUUCCAUUAUCUUUUCUUAUGAGAGGCAUAAUGACAAAUAAGUCCAAAGAAUGUGUAGCAUUAUUAUGGCAGAUCAAUCAAAUGGCUAAUUACCCCUCUUAUCUAAGUGGCAUUAUCUUGCUUUAAAGGUGAUGAAAAUAACAAAUGAAGAAGUUAUUUCGUUUUUUAAAAACAAUUCUGUAAGGAACCAGUCUAUCACUGAUGGGCAUUUGGGUUGGUUCCAAGUCUUUGCUAUUGUGAAUAGUGCUGCAAUAAAUAUACAUGUGCUUGUGUCUUUAUGGUAGAAUGAUUUAUAAUCCUUGGGGUAUAUACCCAGUAAUGGGAUUGCUGGAAUAAAAAUUAUUGGAUUAUGGGUGGAGAAAAUACAUACAAAUGGCCAACAGAUAGACAAAAAAAAUGCUCAAAAUCACUAACCAUCAGGGAAAUGCAAAUUAAAACCGCAGUGAGACAUCACCUCACACCUGUUAGAAUAGCUAUUAUCAAGAAGACAAAAGAUAAGUGUUGGUGAAGAUGUAGAGAAAAGGGAGCCCUUGGACACUGUUGGUGGGAAUGCAAAUUAGUGCAGCCAUUUUGAAAAACCAUGUGAAAGUUCCUCAAAACACUAAAAAUAUAAUUACCACGUGAUCCAGCAAUUCCAAGUCUGGAUAUAUAUACAAGAGUAUUGAAAUUAGUAUGUCAAAGGUAUAUGUCACUCCCAUGUUUACUGUAGCAUUAUUCACAAUAGCUAAGAUAUGAAAUCAACCUAAGUGCCCAUCGAUGGAUGAAAGGAUAAAGGAAAUGUAUAUACAUACAGCAGAAUACUAUUCAGCCUUAAAAAUGAAAGAAAUUCUGUCACUUGACAACAUGGAUGAAUCUGGAGAACAUUAUGCUAAGUGAAAUAAGUCAGGCGCAGAAAGACAAGUACUGCAUGGUCUCACUCACUUAUGUGUGGAAUCUUAAAAAGUUGAAUGUAUAGAAGUAGAGAGUAGAAGAUUGUUGCCAGAGGUGGGAGGGUGGGGGGUGGAUGGGGAAAGAGAAGAUGUCAGUCAAAAGGUUCAAAGUUUCAGUUAGGAGGAAUAAGUUUUAGCGAUCAGAAUGGCACAGCACAGUGACUAUAGUUAAUAAUAACGUAUUUUAUAUUUCAGAAUUUGCUGAAGGAGUUUUAAGUGUAUCAUCACAAAGAAAUAAGUGUGUGAAAUAAUAGAUAUGUUAAUUUGCCUGAUUUAAUGAUUCUAUGAUAUACGUGUGUGUAUCAUAGCACCACAUUGUACCUCAUAAAUAUAUAUAAUUAUUACUUGUCAAUUAAAUUUUAAAAAAGGAUAACUGGUUUGAAUGCAUUUAUACUUUAGUUAUUAUUUAUUUAAAAUUAGUAUUUAAUCUAAUUUUUACAUUUUCAGGAGUGUGUAAACUCUCAGGUAUAGCUUUCUAAUUGAGUCUGUUGUUAAAGUAUACAAGAUAAUGACCUAUUGACCCAUUUCUAGAUAUUCUAUAAAGACAUUAGUUCUAUUCUGACCUAAAUCUGAUAAUGCUAUCAUUGAAAAGGUAACAUACAAAUAAAUACAAGAGAGAUUCAAAAAUCAAAGAUCAGUAAACAGGCAACCUACAGAACAGGAGGAAAUAUCUGUGAACUAGGCAUUUGACAAAGGUAUAAUAUCUAGCAUCUAUAAGGAACUUAAA
rnacentral:lncRNA from 1 species